UNGGAGAGGAAAGUGGAAUUCCUAGUGUAGCGGUGAAAUGCGUAGAUAUUAGGAAGAACACCAGUGGCGAAGGCGACUUUCUGGACGAAAACUGACGCUGAGGCGCGAAAGCCAGGGGAGCGAACGGGAUUAGAUACCCCGGUGGUCCUGGCCGUAAACGAUGGGUACUAGGUGUAGGAGGUAUCGACCCCUUCUGUGCCGGAGUUAACGCAAUAAGUACCCCGCCUGGGGAGUACGACCGCAAGGUUGAAACUCGAAGGAAUUGACGGGGGCCCGCACAAGCGGUGGAGUAUGUGGUUUAAUUCGACGCAACGCGAAGAACCUUACCAGGUCUUGACAUUGAUGGACAGAACCAGAGAUGGUUCCUCUUCUUCGGAAGCCAGAAAACAGGUGGUGCACGGUUGUCGUCAGCUCGUGUCGUGAGAUGUUGGGUUAAGUCCCGCAACGAGCGCAACCCCUAUCUUAUGUUGCCAGCACGUAAAGGUGGGAACUCAUGAGAGACUGCCGCAGACAAUGCGGAGGAAGGCGGGGAUGACGUCAAAUCAUCAUGCCCCUUAUGACCUGGGCUACACACGUACUACAAUGGGAGUUAAUAGACGGAAGCGAGAUCGCGAGAUGGAGCAAACCCGAGAAACACUCUCUCAGUUCGGAUCGUAGGCUGCAACUCGCCUACGUGAAGUCGGAAUCGCUAGUAAUCGCAGGUCAGCAUACUGCGGUGAAUACGUUCCCGGGCCUUGUACACACCGCCCGUCACACCACGAAAGUCGGAAGUGCCCAAAGCCG
rnacentral:rRNA from 1 species